UGGCGGAGAGCUAUAUUUGCCACGAGUUUUUAGUGUCAUUGUCGUGUUAUAUCAAUGGUUUAUCGUUAGGAAUCAUAAUAAAUGAUUGCAGAAGACGAACUUUGUGUAUAUUUAUCAGAUUCAGGUUGCAUUGAUCUUAAUUCGUACUCGAAACCUGUUGUUUUUGUUUACGUGAAUUGAAACUGAAAGUUAAACGGUGUUAAACAGUGUGUUAAACAUUUAAAACAACGUGUGUUAUUCUGAAUACACAUUCAGGGACUACGGAAAAAUAUGAGCGACAGAUCUCUGGAGAAAAUUUGUUGACAAUUAUUUCAGCAAUCGAAGUUACCGUUUAUUUUCCACAGGCACAGGCAUUUCCCCAAAUGGUAGGAGAAUUUUGAUAGAGAUUCUGCAUAUGACAGACUACAAUAUAUUAAGGAGCAGUAGCGAAGUUAUCAACCAUUGUAUUCUAGUGUCUGUAGGACAACUACACAAGGACUUUUUCAACAAUGAAAGCUGCCCACACUCAGCAAAAUGACUUGAACAUAAAAAGGCUAAGCAUGUAUAUGCCGAUACUUCAUUCAACAUGUUCCACUCAAAGGAAAUGCUGCCUUUGCUCAACAAUAAUGAGAGUAUAUCUGAAAGUACUGUAUUACUACACUUGUGUAAGAAUGAGUAAUUUUAGAAACAAAAUGUAGAAUCAGCUUCAAUUUCGAACAAAAGAACUUCGAGAAAGAAUUUUAACACAGAUAAAGUGGCAUGAACAAAGUCGAACCCUUUGUGGCGAUGGAGGAAAUGAGACUGUCGGGAAAGUUUACCAGACAUAAAUGCUUACAAGUGAGGUCAACUAAUCAGCUCCUACUUCUCUCGUUUUCAUCAACUCGAAAAGACAACAGAUGUUGAAGAUUAUGACUCGGAUGUUAAAGAAGAUGGAAAGAAAGCUAUCCGGUCAAAAAGUUCUUUCAAGUCUCAAUUGACAGCACCCACUAAAGACAAAAUAUGACUACUUCCAUGGCUGACAAUUUAAAGUUAGCAGAAGACUUAAGAAAUAAUUUAUAGCAAAACCGUUUUUUACUUUGUUUUUUUUUUCACAGUGGGAGUUUUAGGUCAAGCAAUAGCAGUUAUUUCAUAUAACAUUUAACAGUCAGAUUGUAUAGUGUUUAAACACGUCUUGCUAGAAGUUAUUGCUAUUCUAAUAUAUCUGGUAUGUAAAAGUUAUAUCAAACAUGACGGAACUGUUUAUUUUGCACAUGUAUAAUGUGUAUGGCACCAAAUGUUAGGUCGUCACAUUCUUUGUCAGUACCAGAAAUGGUAUGCAUACACAUUGAACUGGCGUUUCCAAUGUUGGCAAAACCCAUUUGAUAUUCCCCAUGCCAGAUGAAUUCGUGCUGUUAAUGACAACUAAAGAUUCAUGCACAUACAUCGUUUAUGUAAAAUUCGAAAAAGUCAGAUAUAUUGAUAGUUUCUCUACGUUCCUUGUAGUAUAUUUCUUGAUUCAAAAGAUGUUACUUUGUGGUGAUAACACAACGUUACACUACAAAUGAUAAAGCUAAAAUAGAACUUUAUUAUUGUGCAUCACUGAAAGGUCAUGACAUCACUUCUGCUCACAGACAUCUAUUUCUCGCACUUUACAAACUUUAAGAAAGAGUGCUACAAAGAAAGUAUUUCUAUUUGCUUUAUCUAUUUUUUUAUUUGUAAAAUACUGUGUGCAUGGAAACUAGUCUGUCAGAAUAUAAAACUUUUAUGUACAAGACAAGCAAGAAAAACCUUAAGUCAUGUGUUUAAAAUUCAGAUAGAAAUAUCCGUCCCUCGGCCACCUGAGCAUGGGUGCAUGGUAACGAGGAUUGUAGAGUUAACGCCCAGUGUGCAGGUGCCCUCGGGACGGAUAUUUCUAUCUGAUUCGUAUAAUAAAUGACAUAUAUCAUUAAUACAUCUUGCAGAAUAGUUCCAUUAAGGCGCAAAUGAAAGAGAAAGCAUACAGAAAAUAACUAGCUCAGGGUAUGUGUAAAUUAAUCAAGAAAGUUGUGUUUUGUGAAAUUAAUCAAGAAAGUUGUGUUUUGUGAUAUUUUGUUUAAAAACAUGUUUUCUAAGUAAAAUAUUUUAUCAAAUUUGAAGCGCUGGUUCUUGAUAAAUACAUGGUGCUCCAUUGAAGUGACAUCAGCAUUAACAUAGAAACAUUAUGAAGGGGUUAUACCCAAGCAGAAUAAUUUCACAAGGGCCUAGCCAAAUAACACUGCAUGUAAUAGUUUAGUUUUAUUAGCUCACCUGUCACGUAGUGACAGGGUGAGCUUUUGUGAUUGCCCUUCGUCCAUCCACAAUUUCUUAUCUGCACGAUAGUGGUUUCAUUCAUGAUUUUAUCUUAACCAAACUUGCACACAUUUUGUAUCACCAUUAGAUCUUGGUUCCUUUCUGGAACUGACCAGAUCUUGUUAUGGGUUCCAGGGUUUUGGCCCCUGAAAGGGCCAAAAUUAGCUAUUUUGACCUUGUCUGCGCAAUAGCAGCUUCAUUUAUGAUUUGAUUUUAACCAAACUUGCACACGACUUGUAUCACCGCAAGAUCUUGAUUCUUUUGUUGAACUUGCCAGAUUCCAGUAUGGGUUCCAGAGUUACGGCCCCUGAUAGGGCCAGAAUCAGCUAUUUUGACCUUGUCUGCACAAUAGCAGCUUCGUUUAUGAUUUGAAUUUAAUCAAACUUGCAUAAAAACUUGUGUCACCAUAUUAAGAUCUUGGUUCUUUUCUUGAACCGGCCAGAUCCCAUUUUGGGUUCCAGAGUUAUGACCCCUGCAAGGGUCAAAAUUAGCUAUUUUGACUUUGUCUGCACAAUAGCAGCUUCAUUUAUGAUUUGUUUUUAACCAAGUUUGCACACAGCUUGUAUCACCAUAAGAUUUCAGUUCCUUUUUAUACGCCCUAAGAGACGUAUUAUGUUACCGCCUCGGUGUCUGGUCCCAUUAUUCAAUAAAUUCUUCGAAUAGUCGAGCACGCUGUCAUCAGUCAGCUCUUGUAUUUGGCAGAUUCUUCUUUCGUUCACUUACAACAU